rnacentral:lncRNA from 1 species
UUAAUAUUCAUAUCAUUUUGCUCCUUAAUCUCUCUCUACUUUACCUCUUAUUCUCUCUACCUUAUCACCACCACCGGAGAAAGAUGCCGGAGAAGAGGGAGCAGCGAUGUAUGCCGCGAGAGGCAUUCGGAAAGGCUUCUCUCUAUUUGCUGCAGCACAACACAAACUCUGAUCAUCGUCUCUAUUUGCUGCAGAUCUAGUAUUAUGGUUAAUUGGGUGGAAAAAUU